UACGGGGGGGGUAAGCGUUGUUCGGAAUUACUGGGCGUAAAGGGCUCGUAGGCGGCCAACUAAGUCAUACGUGAAAUCCCUCAGCUUAACUGGGGAACUGCGUGUGAUACUGGAUGGCUUGGAUUUGGGAGAGGAUGCGGAAUUCCAGGUGUAGCGGUGAAAUGCGUAGAUAUCUGGAGGAACACCGGUGGCGAAGGCGGCAUCCUGGACCAAUAUUGACGCUGAGGAGCGAAAGCUAGGGGAGCAAACGGG
rnacentral:rRNA from 1 species